rnacentral:lncRNA from 1 species
AAUCCAUUCAUGAAAUGGGCUACAAAAUCAUAAGUGUCUUCAGUGACCAUUGUCUCCUCCUUGUUGAGAAAUUAAGACUCUCUUAUAUUUGCUAUUGAUAAAACUAUUUUAUCUGGAAGCAGUUCCCUUAUGAAAACUCUGGGGGCUGGAGGGUAGAGCAAGGCAGAUGGAAACAACCGGCCCCCUGAUGGCAAACCCAGAGUCUCUCUCUCCUCAACUCUGAUCUGAAUGGUCUUACUCAGGCAUCCCUAACCUGCCGUCCUCCAGAUGUUUUGGCCUACAACUCCCAUGAUCCCUAGCUAACAGGGCCAGUGGUCAGGGAUGUUGGGAACUGUAGUCCAAAACACCUGGAGGGCCGAAGGUUGGGGAUGCCUGGUCUUACUCUUUAGAGCAAGGGUAGUCAGUGUGGUGCCCUCCAGAUGUUAUUGAACAACAAGGCCCAUCAGGCCCAGCCAGCACAGCUAAUGUUAAGGCAUGAUGGGAGUUGUAGUCCGACAUAUGAAGGGCACCAUGUUGGCUACCCCGAUUCUAGAUGGCAGAUUACUUCAAAAUGUGUAAUAUGCUGUGUUUGGGGACCCUCCUGCUCAUUCGGUUGAGAAGGCCUUGCCCUGAUAGCACCACUACAAAGGAGCAGGUCUGCUCAAUCCCCUGAUCUUUUAAACUGCCUCCCCACCUUUUCCCUAGCUUAACCACUGGCCAAUCCAUGAUACGUAUGCUGCUAGCCUUACUUAUUUACUUUCCUUAAUUGCUUCCUGAAAAGGGCUCUGAAAAAAGGCAAGUGCAAAUAUGGCUUUGGGAAAGGCCAAAUCAAUAAUCUCUGCUAUUCUCCUUUUAUCUUUUUCUUAGAUGCCCCAAGAAGCUUUCUCCUCCCCUGGGAAAUUUCAGGAAAGGACAGUACCUGCCAUAUGGUGCCUGCUGUGGCAAAGAGAAUUAGCUGUCCCUCCAAGACAUUUGCUGCUGUUUUUCGGCUGAGUCCAGGAGAUGUCCACUCUGACAGAGGGGAAAUGGACAGAACAGAAAGAGGAUGACUCUCAGGAAAGCAGAGUUGGUCUUAGUCUUUGAGGGUGGGGUGGGGGGACACCUCACAAACUCUUAAUAAUUGAAUAUGCCUUUCAGCCACAAGCUACUUCUGAGAGGGGACAGGAAGCUCCUUUUAAAGCAUUUCAAUUUCUCGGUUAUCUUUCCUUGUGACUUGAUCAAAAAAGGAAGAGCAGAAAAUACUAAACAUACCUUCAUCUAAAAGGGAUUGUGUGAAAUCAGGAGAUUUUUAAAGCCAUAAAUAUCGAUG